rnacentral:SRP_RNA from 1 species
GCCGGUCGUGGUGGUGCGCGCCUGUAGUCCCAGCGACUCGGGAGGCUGAGGCUGGAGGAUCGCUUGAGUUUCAGGAGUUAUGGCCUGUAGUGUGCUAUGCUGAUCGGGUGUCCGUACUAAGUUCGGCAUCAAUAUGGUGUCCUCCCGGGAGCGGGGUACCACCAGGUUGCCUAAGGAGGGGUGAACAGGCCCAGGUCGGAGACGGAGCAGGUCAAAAAUCAAAAGACUUGGGUUUGGGUUCCAGUUUUAAUGUUUCAUCAACUUGCGACUUGGCAAAUUGCUAAUUUU